rnacentral:rRNA from 1 species
CAGUAGCCGCGGUAAUACAGAGGGUGCGAGCGUUAAUCGGAUUUACUGGGCGUAAAGCGUGCGUAGGCGGCUAAUUGAGUCGGAUGUGAAAUCCCCGAGCUUAACUUGGGAAUUGCAUUCGAUACUGGUUAGCUAGAGUGUGGGAGAGGAUGGUAGAAUUCCAGGUGUAGCGGUGAAAUGCGUAGAGAUCUGGAGGAAUACCGAUGGCGAAGGCAGCCAUCUGGCCUAACACUGACGCUGAGGUACGAAAGCAUGGGGAGCAAACAGGAUUAGAUACCCCAGUAGUCCCUGUCUCUUAUAC